rnacentral:rRNA from 1 species
AUUGAACGCUGGCGGCAUGCUUUAUACAUGCAAGUCGAACGGCAAGGCGGGGUUCGGCCUGCUGGCGAGUGGCGAACGGGUGGGUGAGACAUACGAAGGUGACCUGUAGUUGGGGAUAGCUCGGCGUAAGCCGGACGAAUAUCGCAUACGACCAGAGGGUGAAAGGGAGGGAUCGUCGGACUUCGCGCUAUUUGAGCGUCCGAUGGCAGAUUAGCUAGUUGGUGGGGUUAAGGCCUACCGAGGCGACGCUCUGUAGCUGGUCUGAGUGGACGACCAGCCACACUGGAACUGAGCCACGGUCCAGACUCCUACGGGAGGCCGCAGUGGGGAAUUUUGGACAAUGGGCGAAAGCCUGAUGCAGCAACGCCGCGUGAGUGAUGAAGGACUUCGGAUCGUAAAGCCCUUUUGGCGGGAACGAAAAUGUCUGUGCCCAUACAGCCGUUUAAUGACGGUACCCGCAGAAUAAGCACCGGCUAACUACGUG